rnacentral:rRNA from 1 species
CCUACGGGUGGCAGCAGUGAGGAAUAUUGGUCAAUGGGAGAGAUCCUGAACCAGCCAAGCCGCGUGAGGGAAGACGGCCCUCUGGGUUGUAAACUUCUUUUGCAGGAGAACAAAAUCCGUGACGUGAUCCGGACUGAGUGUAUCCGAACAAAAAGCAUCGGCUAACUCCGUGCCAGCAGCCGCGGUAAUACGGAGGAUGCGAGUGUUAUCCGGAUUUAUUGGGCUUAAAGGGUGCGUAGGCGGUCGGAUAAGUUAGAGGUGAAAUCCCGAGGCUCAACUUCGGAAUUGCCUCUGAUACUGGUCGGCUAGAGAGUAGUUGCGGUAAGCGGAAUGUAUGGUGUAGCGGUGAAAUGCUUAGAGAUCA